rnacentral:rRNA from 1 species
UACGGAGGGUGCGAGCGUUGUCCGGAAUCACUGGGCGUAAAGGGCGCGUAGGUGGCUUCUCAAGCGCGCGGUGAAAGCCCGGGGCUCAACCCCGGGUCGGCCGUGCGGACUGGGAGGCUCGAGCACUGUAGGGGCGGGUGGAAUUCCGGGUGUAGCGGUGGAAUGCGUAGAGAUCCGGAAGAACACCAGUGGCGAAGGCGGCUCACUGGUCCGGUACUGACGCUGAGGUGCGAAAGCGUGGGGAGCAAACAGG